rnacentral:sRNA from 1 species
UCACUUUUGGAGGGACGCGCCGCGCCCAGA